AACGAACGCUGGCGGCAGGCUUAACACAUGCAAGUCGAACGCCCCGCAAGGGGAGUGGCAGACGGGUGAGUAACGCGUGGGAACAUACCCUUUCCUGCGGAAUAGCUCCGGGAAACUGGAAUUAAUACCGCAUACGCCCUACGGGGGAAAGAUUUAUCGGGGAAGGAUUGGCCCGCGUUGGAUUAGCUAGUUGGUGGGGUAAAGGCCUACCAAGGCGACGAUCCAUAGCUGGUCUGAGAGGAUGACCAGCCACAUUGGGGCUGAGACACGGCCCAAACUCCUACGGGAGGCAGCAGUGGGGAAUAUUGGACAAUGGGCGCAAGCCUGAUCCAGCCAUGCCGCGUGAGUGAUGAAGGCCUUAGGGUUGUAAAGCUCUUUCACCGAUGAAGAUAAUGACGGUAGUCGGAGAAGAAGCCCCGGCUAACUUCGUGCCAGCCGCCGCAGUAACAC
rnacentral:rRNA from 1 species